rnacentral:rRNA from 1 species
AUUGAACGCUGGCGGCAGGCCUAACACAUGCAAGUCGAGCGGAUGAGGGAAGCUUGCUUCCUGAUUUAGCGGCGGACGGGUGAGUAAUGCCUAGGAAUCUGCCUAUUAGUGGGGGAUAACGUUCCGAAAGGAACGCUAAUACCGCAUACGUCCUACGGGAGAAAGUGGGGGAUCUUCGGACCUCACGCUAAAAGAUGAGCCUAGGUCGGAUUAGCUAGUUGGUGAGGUAACGGCCCACCAAGGCGACGAUCCGUAGCUGGUCUGAGAGGAUGAUCAGCCACACUGGAACUGAGACACGGUCCAGACUCCUACGGGAGGCAGCAGUGGGGAAUAUUGGACAAUGGGCGAAAGCCUGAUCCAGCCAUGCCGCGUGUGUGAAGAAGGUCUUCGGAUUGUAAAGCACUUUAAGUUGGGAGGAAGGGCUGUAAGCUAAUAUCUUGCAGCUUUGACGUUACCAACAGAAUAAGCACCGGCUAACUCUGUGCCAGCAGCCGCCGUAAUAC